rnacentral:rRNA from 1 species
UACGGAGGGGACUAGCGUUGUUCGGAAUUACUGGGCGUAAAGCGCACGUAGGCGGAUUUGUAAGUCAGGGGUGAAAUCCCGGGGCUCAACCUCGGAACUGCCUUUGAUACUGCAAAUCUCGAGUCCGGAAGAGGUGAGUGGAAUUCCUAGUGUAGAGGUGAAAUGCGCAGAUAUCAGGAGGAACACCAAUGGCGAAGGCAGCACUCUGGGACGUGACUGACGCUGAGACGCGAAAGCGUGGGGAGCAAACAGG